rnacentral:rRNA from 1 species
AUUGAACGCUGGCGGCAUGCCUUACACAUGCAAGUCGAACGGCAGCACGGGUGCUUGCACCUGGUGGCGAGUGGCGAACGGGUGAGUAAUACAUCGGAACGUACCUUAUCGUGGGGGAUAACGCAGCGAAAGCUGUGCUAAUACCGCAUACGCCCUGAGGGGGAAAGCGGGGGAUCGAAAGACCUCGCGCGAUUAGAGCGGCCGAUGCCUGAUUAGCUUGUUGGUGGGGUAAAAGCCCACCAAGGCGACGAUCAGUAGCUGGUCUGAGAGGACGAUCAGCCACACUGGGACUGAGACACGGCCCAGACUCCUACGGGAGGCAGCAGUGGGGAAUCUUGGACAAUGGGGGCAACCCUGAUCCAGCAAUGCCGCGUGAGUGAAGAAGGCCUUCGGGUUGUAAAGCUCCUUUGUCAGGGAAGAAACACCGGCUCUAACACAGUCCGGGAAUGACGGUACCUGAAGAAUAAGCACCGGCUAACUACGUGCCAGCAGCCGCAGUAA